GUAGACAUAGUUUAACAAAAACAUUAGAUUGUGAUUCUAAAAACAGAGGUUAAAAUCCUCUUGUCCCCG
rnacentral:tRNA from 1 species